rnacentral:rRNA from 1 species
GACGAACGCUGGCGGCGUGCCUAAUACAUGCAAGUAGAACGCUGAAGCUUGGUGCUUGCACCGAGCGGAUGAGUUGCGAACGGGUGAGUAACGCGUAGGUAACCUGCCUGGUAGCGGGGGAUAACUAUUGGAAACGAUAGCUAAUACCGCAUAAGAGUAGAUGUUGCAUGACAUUUGCUUAAAAGGUGCAAUUGCAUCACUACCAGAUGGACCCGCGUUGUAUUAGCUAGUUGGUGAGGUAACGGCUCACCAAGGCAACGAUACAUAGCCGACCUGAGAGGGUGAUCGGCCACACUGGGACUGAGACACGGCCCAGACUCCUACGGGAGGGAGCAGUAGGGAAUCUUCGGCAAGGGGCGGAAGUCUGACCGAGCAACGCCGCGUGAGUGAAGAAGGUUCUCGGAUCGUAAAGCUCUGUUGUAAGGGAAGAACGAGUGUGAGAGUGGAAAGUUCACACUGUGACGGUAUCUUACCAGAAAGGGACGGCUAACUACGUG